rnacentral:rRNA from 1 species
AGCAGCCGCGGUAAUUCCAGCUCCAAUAGCGUAUAUUAAAGUUGUUGCAGUUAAAAAGCUCGUAGUUGAAUUUCGGAAUCAAUGGAUCGGUCAUGCCAAUCGGUGUGUACUGGUUUGAUUGGUUCUCACCUUCUAAGGAACUGUGAUGCCAUUAAUUUGGUGUCGUAGGAAAUUAGGACUGUUACCUUGAAAAAAUUAGAGUGUUUAAAGCAAGCUCACGCUUGAAUACAUUAGCAUGGAAUAAUGAAAUAGGACAUUGUAUUCUAUUUUGUUGGUUUCUAGGAUCGAUGUAAUGAUUAAUAGGGAUAGUUGGGGGCAUUAGUAUUCAAUUGUCAGAGGUGAAAUUCUUGGAUUUAUUGAAGACUAACUACUGCGAAAGCAUUUGCCAAGGACGUUUUCAUUAAUCAAGAACGAAAGUUAGGGGAUCGAAGACGAUCAGAUACCGUCGUAGUCUUAACCAUAAACUAUGCC